rnacentral:lncRNA from 1 species
CAGGGCUGACUAUGGCCACUAGACAGGAAUCAGCCUUUCACUGGUCAUUUAAAGACUACUUCUCACUGAGAGGCAGAAGGAAUCAUUCCAGCCAUCAUUGUCUGGAUCCUCUGAACAACCUCCAGCAGCAUCAUGACCUUUACCAACAUCCGAGACAAGUGAUUUUGAGAAAAUUACUUCACAAGUCUUCAACCUCAGUUUCAUGGUUUUAAAACUAGAAGCAAUGCUACUACCUAGGGGAAAUUUGUUUUAACAAUUACAAGCAAAAAUAUGCACAAGGAACCUGGGACAGGUGCCGAGCACUCUUCACUCUGCAAUGAUCACCCAGAAGACAACAGAGUGAUGCUUCUCUCCACCUGCUGUAUGAGGACAGCCUGGGCAAUGGGGACAUCGGUAUGAGCUGUCUAUCAGUCCUAGCUCCCUCCAUCUGGACCCAAUGUAGAUUGCUGCUGCUUCAGCUGACCAGAUUCCUUUCGAUUAACACAGACUUUCUUGAGAUAUGUUAACAUACCCUUUGCAUCCCACUUAAGUUUGGAAGACAUUUCCUCUAUUAUAAAUGAUAUGAAAAUGUCUGAGAGUUUAGGUGCAUAUUUUGAAGUCUAACUCAAAACAGUGAUUGUAUUUUCCCUGUACACAAAUUCUUCAUGUACACCCAUUGGUGUUCUGCAGACAGCUUAUACUAGUUCAGGGGAGCUGCUUGCUAAAUAUUCAGAAAUUUUGUGAAUUGGCUGUGAAACAUAGUUGUUAUUAAAAGAUAAAUUACACAAACUUACAACUGAUGAAUCAUAUUAAAAACAAAGACAAUACUCAACUCAUGAUUUUCUGUCCUUUGACUGCAUUUCACAAAUGUCUGUGAUCUUGAGAUUGUUUAUAUCUAUUGUAACUGCAAGUGCUGUGCUACUGCACACUUCUGCUCAGGUCCACCUUCAGGAACUGCAUGGUGGUACGGUAAGAUUGGCCAUGGUGCGAUUAUUCACACCACAGAAACUAUACACUGUUAUUAUACAAAUCAUGGCCUGAUGUAUUGUUUUAUCGAUUCUCUGGACUGAAGAAAGCGAUGGAGAAAAUACUAGUAAUAUAGAUUUAAACUUAAAAGUGUGUCAUGUUGCUUCCAUUACAUUGUAACACACACACACACACACACACACACACAAUUUAGGAAAUAUUCUACUAGUAUUCUAAAGCUAUUAUUUGACUCGCCAAAGAAGCAGCUUCCAUCAUUGACAAACAAGCAAAGCUUUAGCAUAUGCCUUCAUUGUUUCACUUUUGUCUUACUCACUGAUGUAAAUGAAAAUACUGACUGGUACUUGUGUUUAUAUGCUUUCAACAAUUGUUAACUGUAGGUUGACUAUGAAUGCCAGGAUUUGGAAAAAAAAUCAAUGAAUACAUUCUGUGAGAAUAAAAUGCCCAUGUGGAAUGUACAGUAAGAAUAGCAUGCAUUUUUACUAUUAUUUGUAAAUUGCUCUGCAUCCUCUAUGCCAGUAAAUUUAUAAUAAGCUUGUAUCUAGACACAUUCACAUUUUUUUGGAGACCUUGUUAUUAAACAUUACCAUUAA